CACGCCCUAAACGAUGUCAACUAGUUGUUGGGGAUUCAUUUCCUUAGUAACGUAGCUAACGCGUGAAGUUGACCGCCUGGGGAGUNACGCGAAAAACCUUACCUACCCUUGACAUGUACGGAAUCCUGCUGAGAGGUGGGAGUGCUCGAAAGAGAACCGUAACACAGGUGC
rnacentral:rRNA from 1 species